rnacentral:lncRNA from 1 species
GAUCUGCGUUAAAGUUACACUAUGCAACAAUUUGACACUUUUUGAGGUAUGGUUUUAUAAGCAACUAGUUUUGGUACCAUCCUCAAAUUCAUUUUGAUAGCAUAUGGUCAUGUGAAGGACAGAUAAACACCUGUGUCUUCCCCACUAGCCAUCCAAGAUAUGCCCUAUGUAGUUCUGUGUAAGGGGCUGGAACCCCCUGCAAAAAUGAAAUAAAAGCUUUCACACGCAUGACAUUGCCAGCUAUACUGCCAAAAGACACCAGUUAGUGUGUUGGCAAGCUUCUAUGAGUGUCAGCUGGGCUGUUGGUGAGUCACACUUGAUCAAAUAUGGUCUUGGUUGCAUUGUAUCUACACAAGCACAUGGGAACACAAGUAAUAGUGCACAGAUUGUUUGUAUUUAGAUAAAUUAGGUCAGGGUCCACGUAAGGUCAAAAUACCAUUGGGUUGUUACAAACACAAAAUUAGUGAGUCACACAACAUCAUGUAAAAUAUGACAACAAAUCUACAAGAGUACUAUAAUAGGAAGUGUAUCCAAGUGUGUAACUUAUCUUGGGUCAAACAACUUUGAACAGGGUGGUGCUAUGUCUAUCACCUUCCUGUCUGGAGUUUAUGCCUGCUGGAAAUGCUUGACUGGUAUGAGAGAAAGAGAAAGAGAGAAAAAAAGAGAAUGCAAAAGAGAGAGAGAGGGGUAAAGAGAAACAGUGACUGAGAAAGAGAGAGAGAGAAAAAUACAGAGACUGCAAGAGAGAGAGGGGGUUAAAGAGAGAGACAGAGUAAGAGAAAGCAAGAGAGAGAGAGAGAGGUAACAAAGAGACAGAGAUAGCCGUGUACCCCAGCGGAGGACAGAGUGGCGGCCCAGAGUUGUGUCAGGGUGGACAAGGAGACAUGCAGCCCUUUAAAAUGUCCCAGGGGACCCUUUAUUUCCCAUGCAUAGUUUGGACAGGUGUGUAGUGGAACCUUUUUUUUGACGAGUUUUACAAAAAAAAAAAAAAGAAAGAAAGAAAACAAGCUUGACAUUCUUCAUCAUUUUCUGUGUCAUCAAUGUUAUUAUUCACAAAAUAUUUCAACGAAUGUUAGUUUGUGUUCAAAAUUUGUUGUCGAUUCAUCAAUCAGUGUCCUCCAAAGUGAUGGGUGUGGACAAGGAAAAGUGCUGUAAAAACAUAAAUACCAUACAAAAAAGCGUCUAAAACUAAAACAUACAGCAUUUUUUGUUUGUACAACACAGUGUUAUAAAAAGAGGAUCUGAAUGGUUGAAAUAGCAUUCCUUCAGUACUGGUUUCUUCCAGUGGCGACGAGUUAAAAAAAAAAUAACCACUCUAGGUUGGAGAACAAAGAGGACUCACAACGACUGUAAACACUCCAUGGAUGGGGUGGGGGGGCAUGACUGAUACAGCACCGUUCAAAAACCACAACAGCAAAGAGAUCCCCACUCCUCUCCCUACGUCCGCCAUCUGUUGUCCACGAGGAUAAACAACAGCACAAGGUGGUGGGCCCGUUCAUGGCUUCUCUUUUGUAACACAGGAGAACGGGGGGGGGGGGGGGGGGGGGGGGGGGGGGGGGGGGUGUAUUGGGUGAGGUGACACCACAAGUAACAAACAGGAAGUCCACUUGGUGGGCAUCUGUGAUUGGAUGCAUGGGGAGGAAGUGGCCCAACAUCUGGGCUGUGUAUGAAACGAGUCUUUGUCUUUGUUAAGGCUUUGUCAGGUUAGCCUGUGGUAAGGGAGGAUUGCGUGACGCUGUUCAAUUCGGUUGCAGGCUACCUGACUGUAAACUGGCAACAAGUGAAUAGCAGAGAGAAAUGUGGAGAGGGGGGGGAAGAGUGACAGUUAUUGAUCAUCUGUAGUUCAUAUUUGCCAUUUUUUUUAAAUCGGUUUCAUAUCAUGUUUCAUUUUUUGGGGGAGAGGGGGGGGGGGACAGAAUAAACAGACACAAAACCAAAACA